rnacentral:rRNA from 1 species
AGUGAACGCUGGCGGUAGGCCUAACACAUGCAAGUCGACCGGCAGCACAGUAAGAGCUUGCUCUUACGGGUGGCGAGUGGCGGACGGGUGAGGAAUACAUCGGAAUCUACUUUUUCGUGGUGGCUAACGUAGGGAAACUUACGCUAAUACCGCAUACGACCUACGGGUGAAAGCAGCGGAUCUUCGGACCUUGCUCGAUUGUAUGAGCCGAUGUCGGAUUAGCUAGUUGGCUGGGUAAAGGCCCACCAAGGCGACGACCCGUAGCUGGUCUGAGAGGAUGAUCAGCCACACUGGAACUGAGACACGGUCCAGACUCCUACGGGAGGCAGCAGUGGGGAAUAUUGGACAAUGGGCGCAAGCCUGAUCCAGCCAUACCGCGUGGGUGAAGAAGGCCUUCGGGUUGUAAAGCCCUUUUGUUGGGAAAGAAAAGCAGCAGGUUAAUACCCCGCUGUUCUGACGGUACCCAAAGAAUAAGCACCGGCUAACUUCGUG